rnacentral:rRNA from 1 species
AGUGAACGCUGGCGGUAGGCCUAACACAUGCAAGUCGAACGGCAGCACAGGAGAGCUUGCUCUCUGGGUGGCGAGUGGCGGACGGGUGAGGAAUACAUCGGAAUCUACUCUGUCGUGGGGGAUAACGUAGGGAAACUUACGCUAAUACCGCAUACGACCUACGGGUGAAAGCAGGGGAUCGUCGGACCUUGCGCGAUUGAAUGAGCCGAUGUCGGAUUAGUUAGUUGGCGGGGUAAAGGCCCACCAAGGAGACGAUCCGUAGCUGGUCUGAGAGGAUGAUCAGCCACACUGGAACUGAGACACGGUCCAGACUCCUACGGGAGGCAGCAGUGGGGAAUAUUGGACAAUGGGCGCAAGCCUGAUCCAGCCAUACCGCGUGGGUGAAGAAGGCCUUCGGGUUGUAAAGCCCUUUUGUUGGGAAAGAAAUCCAGCUGGCUAAUACCCGGUUGGGAUGACGGUACCCAAAGAAUAAGCACCGGCUAACUUCGUGCCAGCCGCCGCAGUAA